rnacentral:rRNA from 1 species
GAUGAACGCUGGCGCCGUGCCUAAUACAUGCAAGUCGAGCGAACAGACGAGGAGCUUGCUCCUCUGACGUUAGCGGCGGACGGGUGAGUAACACGUGGAUAACCUACCUAUAAGACUGGGAUAACUUCGGGAAACCGGAGCUAAUACCGGAUAAUAUAUUGAACCGCAUGGUUCAAUAGUGAAAGACGGUUUUGCUGUCACUUAUAGAUGGAUCCGCGCCGCAUUAGCUAGUUGGUAAGGUAACGGCUUACCAAGGCGACGAUGCGUAGCCGACCUGAGAGGGUGAUCGGCCACACUGGAACUGAGACACGGUCCAGACUCCUACGGGAGGCAGCAGUAGGGAAUCUUCCGCAAUGGGCGAAAGCUUGACGGAGCAACGCCGCGUGAGUGAUGAAGGUCUUCGGAUCGUAAAACUCUGUUAUUAGGGAAGAACAAAUGUGUAAGUAACUAUGCACGUCUUGACGGUACCUAAUCAGAAAGCCACGGCUAACUACGUG